rnacentral:rRNA from 1 species
GAUGAACGCUGGCGGCGUGCCUAAUACAUGCAAGUCGAGCGAACAGACGAGGAGCUUGCUCCUCUGACGUUAGCGGCGGACGGGUGAGUAACACGUGGAUAACCUACCUAUAAGACUGGGAUAACUUCGGGAAACCGGAGCUAAUACCGGAUAAUAUAUUGAACUGCAUGGUUCAAUAGUGAAAGACGGUUUUGCUGUCACUUAUAGAUGGAUCCGCGCCGCAUUAGCUAGUUGGUAAGGUAACGGCUUACCAAGGCAACGAUGCGUAGCCGACCUGAGAGGGUGAUCGGCCACACUGGAACUGAGACACGGUCCAGACUCCUACGGGAGGCAGCAGUAGGGAAUCUUCCGCAAUGCGCGAAAGCCUGACGGAGCAACGCCGCGUGAGUGAUGCAGGUCUUCGGAUCGUAAAACUCUGUUAUUAGGGAAGAACAAAUGUGUAAGUAACUAUGCACGACUUGACGGUACCUAAACAGAAAGCCACGGCUAACUACGUG